GGGGGAGCGGCGGGAGCCCCCCCCCGUCCCCGCCCGGCGGAGCGGAGCGGAGCGAGCAGGGCAGGGCCGGGCAAGGCCGCGCCGUGCUGCGGCAUGGAAGGGACGCGGACCCCCCCCCGGUACGGAUCGCUCGAGUCCACCCGCUGGCCGGAGCCAGAGGAUGAAAUUGUUUCCAUGGCCGACUCCACCACCACCAUCGAUGACAUCGAAGGGGAGCUCUUCAAAAUCGAGAGGAUCAGGGAGAUCCUGGUGAGGAGGGAGUCGGAGCUGCGAUACAUGAUGGAUGACAUUCAGCUUUGCAAAGAAAUCAGCCGGCUGAAAAAGGAGCUUCAAAAACUGAUAGCCCUUCCAGAGACCGAGAAGUCCAACGAGGAGAAGCAGAGGGAGGAGGAGCUGGUGCAACAGAUACACAAGCUGGUGGAAACUCGGGAUUUUCUGGUGGACGAUGUGGAGUUUGAGAGGCUCAGGGAGAGAGAAGAAGACAAGGAAAUGGCAGAAUUCCUGCAAAGUAAGCUCUCCAAAAGCUACCUCCAGAAAGCAAGUAGGUGGCUGAUGAGUUUUAUUCCUCCCAUUGAACCUCCCUGCCAGUUUCUCCCUUCGCUAAGCACUUUGUUCACAAGAUUUCACUGCUCUUUGUGGGGCGAGCUUACCUGGAGGCCGUCUGUUGCUGGAGGAGGGUGUGGGGAAAUGGCAACUUUGGGGUGCUGGUGUUUGAGAUCAUAUUGUGGAAACAUCACAAAUCAGUAGAGAUGCUGUGCUUCCAUGUACCCUCCUGGCACUUCUCAGCCAUCACGUCAUAUGAGAACUGGGACAAGUGGGUGUCCUUUCAUGGUUCAUGUACUUCAUCUGACCUUUUCUAACCAUCCCCUUCCAUUUCAUCACACAGUUAGCUGAGGUCACAAGUCACGGUAUCCAUCCAGCCGUCCUCUCUUCAUGGCCUCUGGUGGCAGGCCACCCUUCCCUGUGCCUCCAUCACUGCUGGAGGAACACCUCCCCAGCGUGGUGGGCAUCUCCUGCCUGGGGUCCCAGUGCCUCUGCGUGAGGAGGGGCAGCACCACAGCCCUGAGAGGAGCUCUCAGAAGAAGCAGUGGGCCUGUGCCCUUGUCAGCAAGCAGACACCAACCCUAAAGGUAACAAUGCUUCUCUCUGUAGCUCCUGUCAAAGAGAAAAAAAUGACUUCCAGGGGGCAGCAAACCUCCGCCCCGUAUAUGACCAAGACAGGCCUCACGCUGCUCAAGGAGUGCUGUGGCUUCACCUGCUCCAUCAUGUAGCCAGUCCCCAGCUCCUCUGCACAGGACAUGACCAUGGUAGUGUCUCCAGCCAGAGUCCACUAUCUGCUGUCCUCUGAGAGUUUCAACCUCCCGUCAUUAUUCAUGCUUCCCACUGCAGCACUGCCACUGAAGAGACUUUCCAAGUGGGCUGGUGCAAGCUUGAAUGAUGGCAUGUCUCCUUGGUGCCACGUCAAUGGUCGUCUCCUCCAUGACAUCAACAAACACUGAAUCCCACCUGAGCUCAGCUUGGCAGAGGUGUGUGCAGCAGUGAGCCCACAACAAAGAGGUUCUGCACCUGCCGGAGUAAUAAAACAAGCACUCGGAGCUAACCUUUGGAGAACAUUGUGCUCCACCAUCCAAGACACGCUGUUGCCACAGAUCUCAUCCUUGGCCUUGUACCAACUUGUGAGUCUCUGUGGGAUGGUUCCGAAGGACUCUUUGUGGGGAAUGUCUCUGGUCUGGGGUUUGUUGCGUUUGCCUUGAUGUUAUUGCCAAGUCCCCUGUGGCUCUGGGUAGAUCUGUGGGAAGUGGGAAGUGCAGACCCCUGAGCCGGCUGAAUGAAGGGCUAAUUCUUGUAGUUCUUGUGAUGUUUUCACCUGAGAGCAGCUGUAGUGUGUUGAACUACAGGCAGAUGAUCUGCUUUCCCCACCUCGCUAUUACUGGGUUCAGUUUCAGCUCCAAGGAAAAAGAGGAAAUUAAAAAAAAAAGAGGAAAGGAGACAAAAUCAGAAGAACAGAGCAACAUGCAAAGGAAGAUGAAUCCAAACGGGAGACUAGAAAUGUGGCAGGGAAGGUGGAGAGAGCAGGUGAGAGACACCCUCACUGCCAAGAGGGCACUCAGCCCUGCACUCCAGCACCCAUCCAGUGCCCCUGGGCUUGGCACCAUGAGCUAAGUCCUGUGUGAAGGGCUCACAGCAACCCGAGGUCACCCAGUGUCUCAGUCCUGCUGCUUCUGAGCAUCCCCAUGUGGAGAUGGCACAGCCAGAGCUGCUACACCGACUGCAGCAGGACAGGGGCUCUCCUCAGGGGGUGUGAAGGCCUCUCACAUCUCCAGCCCUGCCUGCCCUGUAGGGUGGUGUGGUUUCACUGGGUGGCCUGGGGUGGCUUCCCCUUUGGGUGGCUGCCCAGGAGCUUGGGCUGCCCUCUGGCCAGUGUGCUGAGGCCUUCAGCUCAGCCCUGCUGCAGCUUGCUGGUGGGCCUGGAGGUGGUGGGUGCCUCUGCCUGGCCCAGGGGCCGGCGUGCCCAUGCCAGAGAGGUCACAGCCCACCUGUCUCUUCUCAUUGCACCUGAAAGCACAUUCAUCCCUAUAAAACCACGCAGGUGGGACCCUUCCUGGUGCAAUGUCACAAGCAGGUCCAAGUUCCUCCUGCAUUUCUCUAUCAGCACUGCCAGAAAUCCCAGUUCUCUAACCUUUGAAAGGGGGUUUCCACUCACUUGUCCUUCCUGAGCAAUCUCCUCUCCAUGCGGUUCUUACCAGCAGCAAUGAAAGUCCACGAGCUCUUAAGCAAUCCCUUUGCACACUCACAGGCUGGGGUGCAGGGCCCCAGCAGGCUGUCAUGGUACCUGGCCAUCUCUAGCAAACUUGACCCCGCUUUGGUUCAGGUCUCCUCUGAGCUGACCUCAGUGGUCUCAGUCUGAAGCCUGCCUACAUUUUGUGCUGCUUAUUGUUAACGACCUACUGCAUCCUACAACCUCCCCUUGCCAGUUCCUGGUGUUCCCCUUGCUUUGGGGAGGCUCCACUGCAGGCUGGAGGGAGCGCCCUGUGGAUCACAGAGGUGAGUGGGUCGCAGGGAGCUUCCCUCUGCUUUGCCAGCCUGGUGUAACAGCACGAGGUGCAUCCGCACCGCAAUACACGGCCGGGGCUGUUGCUCAAGCAGCAGUGACAGGCCAGCAUCAGUAGCAUCCAGCCUGGAGCUGGUGGGACAGAUCGGGCCUCUCUUGCUCUCUGCUCUUCCAGACACUGUCCCGUGGCUGCUGUGCCUGGCGGUGCUGCAGCCAGAUGUGGAGCAAUGUGGGUGCUCGCUGAGACCCACGCAGACCCGUGGCUCAGGGCCUACAAGACCCCUCUCACUGUGCUCGCCUUCCCCAGGCCUUGGGAAGGGUGAAUUCCUGAGCCAGGAUGUUUUGUUGGGCCAAGAGGGAGCCAAAGGCCGGGAAGGGCCCUUGAUCCACUGCUUGGUCCCCAAAUUCAUCCCUACCUCCACACCUCCAGGCCCCAGGAGCCAGACUUCAGCUGCUGUGCAGUGCUUGGGCAGGCAGGGAGGAUGGCCAGGAAGGAGACGGGGAGGAUCCUGACCUGUUUUGCUCUGUGUUUGCUGUCUGUGUUUGUGUGGCUGGUUGUGGAAAAGAAGACAGGCUGCUGUCCUGGUCAUACGAUCCUAUUUGGCCUGUGUUUUACCUGAUGGCAAAGGUGCGCAGCACACGGGAGCGACACUCGUUCAUGUGCAUUGAUUUCAACCCAAACAAAUAAAUGUCUGUUGGAAGCUUG